GACGAACGCUGGCGGCGUGCUUAACACAUGCAAGUCGAACGGAAAGGCCCUGCUUUUGUGGGGUGCUCGAGUGGCGAACGGGUGAGUAACACGUGAGUAACCUGCCCUUGACUUUGGGAUAACUUCAGGAAACUGGGGCUAAUACCGGAUAGGAGCUCCUGCUGCAUGGUGGGGGUUGGAAAGUUUCGGCGGUUGGGGAUGGACUCGCGGCUUAUCAGCUUGUUGGUGGGGUAGUGGCUUACCAAGGCUUUGACGGGUAGCCGGCCUGAGAGGGUGACCGGCCACAUUGGGACUGAGAUACGGCACAGACUCCUACGGGAGGCAGCAGUGGGGAAUAGUGCAAAAUGGGCGGAAGCCUGAUGCAGCAACGCCGCGUGCGGGAUGACGGCCUUCGGGUUGUAAACCGCUUUCGCCGGUGACGAAGCGUGAGUGACGGUAAUGGGUAAAGAAGCACCGGCUAACUACGUG
rnacentral:rRNA from 1 species